UGGGGAAUUUUGGACAAUGGGGGAAACCCUGAUCCAGCCAUCCCGCGUGUGCGAUGAAGGCCUUCGGGUUGUAAAGCACUUUUGGCAGGAAAGAAACGUCGCGGGUUAAUACCCCGCGAAACUGACGGUACCUGCAGAAUAAGCACCGGCUAACUACGUGCCAGCAGCCGCGGUAAUACGUAGGGUGCAAGCGUUAAUCGGAAUUACUGGGCGUAAAGCGUGCGCAGGCGGUUCGGAAAGAAAGAUGUGAAAUCCCAGAGCUUAACUUUGGAACUGCAUUUUUAACUACCGGGCUAGAGUGUGUCAGAGGGAGGUGGAAUUCCGCGUGUAGCAGUGAAAUGCGUAGAUAUGCGGAGGAACACCGAUGGCGAAGGCAGCCUCCUGGGAUAACACUGACGCUCAUGCACGAAAGCGUGGGGAGCAAACAGGAUUAGAUACCCUGGUAGUCCACGCCCUAAACGAUGUCAACUAGCUGUUGGGGCCUUCGGGCCUUGGUAGCGCAGCUAACGCGUGAAGUUGACCGCCUGGGGAGUACGGUCGCAAGAUUAAAACUCAAAUGAAUUGACGGGGGUCAUAGCUG
rnacentral:rRNA from 1 species